GACGAACGCUGGCGGCGUGCCUAAUACAUGCAAGUCGAACGCACUCUCGAGUAGCUUGCAGGUGUGUGCUCCUGAUUGAUCAACAUUUGAAUGCGUGGCGAACCUGUGUGUAACACGUGGAUAACCUGCGCUAACGGGGGGGAAAACAUGUGGAAACAGAUGCUAAUACCGCAUAAAACUUAACACCGCAUUUUGUGGGGUUGAUAGAUGGAUCCGGCUCUCACUUUCGGAUUGACCCGCGGAGCAUUAGUUAGUUGGUCAGGUAACGGCUCACCAAGACAGCGAUGCAUAGCCGACCUGAGAGGGUAAUCGGCCACACUGGAACUGAGACACGGCCCAGACUCCUACGGGAGGCAGCAGUAGGGAAUCUUCCACAAUGGACGAAAGUCUGAUGGAGCAACGCCGCGUGAGUGAAGAAGGUUUUCGGAUCGUAAAACUCUGUUGUUGGAGAAGAAUGUAUCUGAUAGUAACUGAGCAGGUAGUGACGGUAUCUAACCAGAAAGCCACGGCUAACUACGUG
rnacentral:rRNA from 1 species